CUAAUUAUCAAACCUUACAGAAACUUUUUAGCUUUAUGUGUUAACAUUACAUUAAACUUUCAUAAGUGAUUGGUUUUUACAUUGGCUGUCAUGAGACCAUUAUAAUUGUGUCAGGAAUAAUCUUCCUUGACCUCAAGGAAAGUGAAACAAUUUGGACUGGGGGUUAAGAUGUCAUAAAAGUUAUAAGACCAGUUUGACGACAGUGAAUACAGUACUAAAGUGAUUUACUGAGCUUUGGACAGA